UUUAAAUAUUUCAUUAACUCGCAGCUUCUUUUCAAACACUUUCAAGGAUAACUCUUCUUGAGAAAUCUAAAAUCUUUCGGGCGAAUCUUCUAAUUUUGCUUAGAAUUUUUCUUUGAAUUCCUCAAAGAUAUAGCAACUCUUUCUAUAAGGUUCUUUCUCAAGGGUCUUUUUAGUUGGACACUUUUUCUUCAACCUCAAAAAGUGUAAUAUUCUUCUUUUAAAAAAUUCCUGCGAGAAAAUCCAAAAAUUCCGAAAGAUUGUCCUCUACAACUUCCUUCAAAUCUUCCCUUAAUUAAGAAUUUUAUUCGAAUUCUUUAAUUCAAAAUUCUCUGCGAAUUCUCGUCUAAUUUAAAGGAACCUCGAGAAGAGAUGAUACAUUUGCCAGUGUCUUAGUGAUUUUCUUCGAGUCCGUAGA